AAUCCAUCCACAUCCACUCGCGAAUUACACCGUACCCCCCAAGUGGACCUCGGGAAAGCUUGGGCGGCUGUCUUUCGGGUCAGCCGGGCUCCCCUCACGGGUGAGUCGGCAACCAUUUUACACACCCAACUAAUAUGUCUGUCUGAAGAUGAUUCGGCUCAGCACUGCUGGUCGAUUAACUAAGAC
rnacentral:rRNA from 1 species